GCCAGCAGCCGCGGUAAUACGAAGGGACCUAGCGUAGUUCGGAAUUACUGGGCUUAAAGAGUUCGUAGGUUGUUAAAAAAGUUGGUUGUGAAAUCCCGAAGCUUAACUUCGGAACUGCAAUCAAAACUUUUUAGCUAGAGUAUGAUAGAGGAAAGCAGAAUUUCUAGUGUAGAGGUGAAAUUCGUAGAUAUUAGAAAGAAUACCAAUUGCGAAGGCAGCUUUCUGGAUCAUUACUGACACUGAGGAACGAAAGCAUGGGUAGCGAAGAGGAUUAGAUACCCUCGUAGUCCAUGCCGUAAACGAUGUGUGUUAGACGUUGGAAAUUAUUUUCAGUGUCGCAGCGAAAGCAUUAAACACACCGCCUGGGGAGUACGACCGCAAGGUUAAAACUCAAAUGAAUUGACGGGGACCCGCACAAGUAGUGGAGCAUGUGGUUUAAUUCGAAGAUACGCGCAGAACCUUACCAACACUUGACAUGUUCGUCGCGACUCUAAGAGAUUAGAGUUUUCGGUUCGGCCGGACGAAACACAGGUGCUGCAUGGCUGUCGUCAGCUCGUGUCGUGAGAUGUUGGGUUAAGUCCCGCAACGAGCGCAACCCUCACUUUUAGUUGCCAUCAUUUAGUUGGGCACUCUGAAAGAACUGCCAGUGAUAAGCUGGAGGAAGGUGGGGAUGACGUCAAGUCCUCAUGGCCCUUACGUGUUGGGCUACACACGUGCUACAAUGGCAUUUACAAUAGGAAGCAAGAUGGCGACGUCGAGCAAAUCCUAAAAAGAUGCCUCAGUUCGGAUUGUACUCUGCAACUCGAGUACAUGAAGCUGGAAUUACUAGUAAUCGC
rnacentral:rRNA from 1 species